rnacentral:tRNA from 1 species
UUCCCGGUGGUGUAAUCGGUAACACAGCAGGUUUUGGUCCUGCUAUUCGAGGUUCGAGUCCUCGCCGGGAAGCCA